UGUCUUUUUGUUGCCGCCUCGGCCACGGC
rnacentral:sRNA from 1 species